rnacentral:tRNA from 2 species
GGCGCAGUAGUUCAAUGGAUAGAAUAGAAGUUUCCUAAACUUUAGAUUCGGGUUCGAUUCCCGGCUGUGCUACAA